AUACGUAGGGUGCAAGCGUUAAUCGGAAUUACUGGGCGUAAAGCGUGCGCAGGCGGUUUUGUAAGAAAGAGGUGAAAUUCCCGGGCUCAACCUGGGAACUGCCUUUGUGACUGCAAGGCUAGAGUACGGCAGAGGGGGAUGGAAUUCCGCGUGUAGCAGUGAAAUGCGUAGAUAGGCGGAGGAACACCGAUGUCGAAGGCAAUCCCCUGGGCUUGUACUGACGCUCAUGCACGAAAGCGUGGGGAGCAAACAGGAUUAGAUCCCCUGGUAGUCCACGCCCUAAACGAUGGCAACUGGUUGUUGGGUCUUCAUUGACUCAGUAACGAAGCUAACGCGUGAAGUUGACCGCCUGGGGAGUACGGCCGCAAGGUUAAAACUCAAAUGAAUUGACGGGG
rnacentral:rRNA from 1 species